AACGAACGCUGGCGGCAUGCCUAACACAUGCAAGUCGAACGAGAUCUUCGGGUCUAGUGGCGCACGGGUGCGUAACGCGUGGGAAUCUGCCCUCAGGUUCGGAAUAACCCUUGGAAACGAUGGCUAAUACCGGAUGAUGACGUUAAGUCCAAAGAUUUAUCGCCUGAGGAUGAGCCCGCGUAGGGUUAGCUGGUGGGUGUGGUAAAGGCGCACCAAGGCGACGUUCCUUAGCUGGUCUGAGAGGAUGAUCAGCCACACUGGGACGGAGACACGGCCCAGACUCCUACGGGAGGCAGCAGUGGGGAAUAUUGGACAAUGGGCGAAAGCCUGAUCCAGCAAUGCCGCGUGAGUGAUGAAGGCCUUAGGGUUGUAAAGCUCUUUUACCCGGGAUGAUAAUGACAGUACCGGGAGAAUAAGCACCGGCUAACUCCGU
rnacentral:rRNA from 1 species